GGUUCCCGAGCGGCCAAAGGGAGCAGACUGUAAAUCUGCCGUCAUCGACUUCGAAGGUUCGAAUCCUUCCCCCACCACCA
rnacentral:tRNA from 10 species